CGUCCCCUGCGGUGUUUGUUAGUAGAUUGGGUAUUUUCUUGAGCCUAAUUCAAUGCCCCGGGGCCCUACAUUAACGAUGUUGUUGUGCAUGUCCGCGCGACGGAAAGCCUGAUACAUCGCAUAGGGUCCCACCUGAACCGUUGGUUCAAGGACGAAAAUCUACGACGGCACAUGCGGAGGGCGC
rnacentral:other from 1 species